rnacentral:lncRNA from 1 species
UCUUUCUGCGUCUCCUCCUCUACUUCACACUUUGAUUCCUUUACAUUUUCUUGAGUGUCAAUCUCCCUGGAAGUAACUUCAGCCUUGACCUCCUCCUCAUCCUCUUCAUUUUUGUGUUUCUUCUUUUUGUCCUCCUUGUCUUUCUUCUUCUUUCCUUCUUUUUUGUCAUCUUUUUGCUCAUCGCUCUUCUUCUCUUUUUCAUCAUCACCGUAUUUGUGUUUCUUCUUUUUAUCAUCCUUGUCUUUCUUCUUCUCCCCUUCUUUUUUAUUGCCGUCACCUUUUACUUCAUCACUCUUCUCCUUUUCGCCAUCACCACCCUUGUGUUUCUUCUUUUUAUCGUCUUUCUUCUUCUCCCCUUCUUUUUUAUCAUCGUCACCUUUUACCUCAUCACUCUUCUUCUCUGUUUCAUCAUCACCGCCCUUGUGUUUCUUCUUUUUAUCGUCCUUUCCUUCAUCCUUACGCGUCUCCUCUGCUUCACCCUUUGAUUCCUUUACAUUAUCUUCAAUGUCAAUCUCCCUGGAAGUAACUUCAGCCUUGACCUCCUCCUCAUCCUCUUCAUUUUUGUGUUUCUUCUUUUUGUCCUCCUUGUCUUUCUUCUUCUUUCCUUCUUUUUUGUCAUCUUUUUGUUCAUCGCUCUUCUUCUCUUUUUCAUCACCACCAUCCUUGUGUUUCUUCUUUUUAUCAUCCUUCUCCUUCUUCUCCCCUUCUUUUUUAUCGUAGUCACCUUUUACCUCAUCGCUCUUCUUCUCUUUUUCAUCAUCGCCCUUGUGUUUCUUCUUUUUCUCAUCCUCGUCUUUCUUCUUCUUUCCUUUUUUCUUAUCAUCACCGUCGUUUUCCUCAUCCUUGUCUUUCUUCUC